rnacentral:rRNA from 1 species
GAUGAACGCUGGCGGCGUGCCUAAUACAUGCAAGUCGAGCGAACAGACGAGGAGCUUGCUCCUCUGACGUUAGCGGCGGACGGGUGAGUAACACGUGGAUACCCUACCUAUAAGACUGGGAUCACUUCGGGACACCGGAGCUAAUACCGGAUAAUCUAUUGAACCGCAUGGUUCAAUAGUGAAAGACGGUUUUGCUGUCACUUCUAGAUGGAUCCGCGCCGCAUUAGCUAGUUGUUAAGGUAACGGCUUACCAAGGCAACGAUGCGUAGCCGACCUGAGAGGGUGAUCGGCCACACUGGAACGGAGACACGGUCCAGAGUCCUACGGGAGGCAGCAGUAGGGAAUCUGCCGCAAUGGGCGAAAGCCUGACGGAGCAACGCGGCGUGAGUGAUGAAGGUCUUCGGAUCGUAAAACUCUGUUAUGAGGGAAGAACAAAUGUGUAAGUAACUAUGCACGUCGUGACGGUACCUAAUCAGAAAGCCACGGCUAACUACGUG